rnacentral:rRNA from 1 species
CUACGUGCCAGCAGCCGCGGUAAUACGUAGGUGGCAAGCGUUGUCCGGAAUUAUUGGGCGUAAAGCGCGCGCAGGCGGAUCAGUCAGUCUGUCUUAAAAGUUCGGGGCUUAACCCCGUGAUGGGAUGGAAACUGCCAAUCUAGAGUAUCGGAGAGGAAAGUGGAAUUCCUAGUGUAGCGGUGAAAUGCGUAGAUAUUAGGAAGAACACCAGUGGCGAAGGCGACUUUCUGGACGAAAACUGACGCUGAAGUGCGAAAGCUAGGGGAGCAAACAGGAUUAGAUACCCUGGUAGUCCUAGCUGUAAACGAUGAUUACUGGGUGUGGGCAUGAAGAGUGUCUGUGCCGAAGCUAAUGCGAUAAGUAAUCCGCCUGGGGAGUACGACCGCAAGGUUGAAACUCAAAGGAAUUGACGGGGACCCGCACAAGCGGUGGAGCAUGUGGUUUAAUUCGACGCAACGCGAGGAACCUUACCAGAUCUUGACAUCC